rnacentral:rRNA from 1 species
GGGACACGUGAUAUCCUGUCUGAAUAUGGGGGGACCAUCCUCCAAGGCUAAAUACUACUGACUGACCGAUAGUGAACCAGUACCGUGAGGGAAAGGCGAAAAGAACCCCUGUGAGGGGAGUGAAAUAGAACCUGAAACCGUGUACGUACAAGCAGUAGGAGCAGGCUUUGUCCUGUGACUGCGUACCUUUUGUAUAAUGGGUCAGCGACUUAUAUUCAGUGGCAAGGUUAACCAUCUAGGGGAGCCGUAGGGAAACCGAGUCUUAACUGGGCGUUCAGUCUCUGGAUAUAGACCCGAAACCAGGUGAUCUAGCCAUGGGCAGGUUGAAGGUUGAGUAACAUCAACUGGAGGACCGAACCGACUAAUGUUGAAAAAUUAGCGGAUGACUUGUGGCUAGGGGUGAAAGGCCAAUCAAACCUGGAGAUAGCUGGUUCUCCCCGAAAGCUAUUUAGGUAGCGCCUCGGACGAAUACUACUGGGGGUAGAGCACUGUUAAGGCUAGGGGGUCAUCCCGACUUACCAACCCUUUGCAAACUCCGAAUACCAGUAAGUACUAUCCGGGAGACACACGGCGGGUGCUAACGUCCGUCGUGGAGAGGGAAACAACCCAGACCGCCAGCUAAGGUCCCAAAUUACUACUAAGUGGGAAACGAUGUGGGAAGGCUCAGACAGCCAGGAUGUUGGCUUAGAAGCAGCCAUCAUUUAAAGAAAGCGUAAUAGCUCACUGGUCGAGUCGGCCUGCGCGGAAGAUGUAACGGGGCUAAGUAGUAAACCGAAGCUGCGGCAAUGUGCUUUUGCACAUUGGGUAGGGGAGCGUUCUGUAAGCGGUUGAAGGUGUGUGGUAACGCAUGCUGGACGUAUCAGAAGUGCGAAUGCUGACAUGAGUAACGAUAAAGGGGGUGAAAAACCUCCUCGCCGGAAGACCAAGGGUUCCUGUCCAACGUUAAUCGGGGCAGGGUAAGUCGACCCCUAAGGCGAGGCCGAAAGGCGUAGUCGAUGGGAAACGGGUUAAUAUUCCCGUACUUCUUACAAUUGCGAUGGGGGGACGGAGAAGGCUAGGUGGGCCUGGCGACGGUUGUCCAGGUUCAAGUGCGUAGGCUUGAGAGUUAGGUAAAUCCGGCUCUUUUUAAGGCUGAGACACGACGUCGAGCACCUACGGGUGUGAAGUCAUUGAUGCCAUGCUUCCAGGAAAAGCCUCUAAGCUUCAGAUUGUAAGGAAUCGUACCCCAAACCGACACAGGUGGUCGGGUAGAGAAUACCAAGGCGCUUGAGAGAACUCGGGUGAAGGAACUAGGCAAAAUGGUACCGUAACUUCGGGAGAAGGUACGCUCUCGACGGUGAAGUCCCUCGCGGAUGGAGCUAUUGAGAGUCGCAGAUACCAGGUGGCUGCAACUGUUUAUUAAAAACACAGCACUGUGCAAAAUCGUAAGAUGACGUAUACGGUGUGACGCCUGCCCGGUGCCGGAAGGUUAAUUGAUGGGGUUAGACUUCGGUCGAAGCUCUUGAUCGAAGCCCCGGUAAACGGCGGCCGUAACUAUAACGGUCCUAAGGUAGCGAAAUUCCUUGUCGGGUAAGUUCCGACCUGCACGAAUGGCGUAAUGAUGGCCACGCUGUCUCCACCCGAGACUCAGUGAAAUUGAAAUCGCUGUGAAGAUGCAGUGUACCCGCGGCUAGACGGAAAGACCCCGUGAACCUUUACUACAGCUUGGCACUGAACAUUGACCCUACAUGUGUAGGAUAGGUGGGAGGCUUUGAAGCACGUACGCCAGUAUGUGUGGAGCCGUCCUUGAAAUACCACCCUUGUAGUGUUGAUGUUCUAACGUCGACCCCUUAUCGGGGUUGCGGACAGUGCCUGGUGGGUAGUUUGACUGGGGCGGUCUCCUCCCAAAGAGUAACGGAGGAGCACGAAGGUGGGCUAAUCACGGUUGGACAUCGUGAGGUUAGUGCAAUGGCAUAAGCCCGCUUGACUGCGAGAAUGACAAUUCGAGCAGGUGCGAAAGCAGGUCAUAGUGAUCCGGUGGUUCUGAAUGGAAGGGCCAUCGCUCAACGGAUAAAAGGUACUCCGGGGAUAACAGGCUGAUACCGCCCAAGAGUUCAUAUCGACGGCGGUGUUUGGCACCUCGAUGUCGGCUCAUCACAUCCUGGGGCUGAAGUCGGUCCCAAGGGUAUGGCUGUUCGCCAUUUAAAGUGGUACGCGAGCUGGGUUUAGAACGUCGUGAGACAGUUCGGUCCCUAUCUGCCGUGGGCGUUGGAAGAUUGAAGGGGGCUGCUCCUAGUACGAGAGGACCGGAGUGGACGAACCUCUGGUGUUCGGGUUGUGUCGCCAGACGCAUUGCCCGGUAGCUAAGUUCGGAAUCGAUAACCGCUGAAAGCAUCUAAGCGGGAAGCGAGCCCUGAGAUGAGUCUUCCCUGAUACUUUAAGUAUCCUAAAGGGUUGUCGGAGACUACGACGUUGAUAGGUCAGGUGUGUAAGUGCUGUGAGGCAUUGAGCUAACUGAUACUAAUUGCCCGU